rnacentral:rRNA from 1 species
UGAAACAUCUUCGGGUUGUGAGGUUAAGCGACUAAGCGUACACGGUGGAUGCCCUGGCAGUCAGAGGCGAUGAAGGACGUGCUAAUCUGCGAUAAGCGUCGGUAAGGUGAUAUGAACCGUUAUAACCGGCGAUUUCCGAAUGGGGAAACCCAGUGUGUUUCGACACACUAUCAUUAACUGAAUCCAUAGGUUAAUGAGGCGAACCGGGGGAACUGAAACAUCUAAGUACCCCGAGGAAAAGAAAUCAACCGAGAUUCCCCCAGUAGCGGCGAGCGAACGGGGAGCAGCCCAGAGCCUGAAUCAGUGUGUGUGUUAGUGGAAGCGUCUGGAAAGGCGCGCGAUACAGGGUGACAGCCCCGUACACAAAAAUGCACAUGCUGUGAGCUCGAUGAGUAGGGCGGGACACGUGGUAUCCUGUCUGAAUAUGGGGGGACCAUCCUCCAAGGCUAAAUACUCCUGACUGACCGAUAGUGAACCAGUACCGUGAGGGAAAGGCGAAAAGAACCCCGGCGAGGGGAGUGAAAAAGAACCUGAAACCGUGUACGUACAAGCAGUGGGAGCACGCUUAGGUGUGUGACUGCGUACCUUUUGUAUAAUGGGUCAGCGACUUAUAUUCUGUAGCAAGGUUAACCGAAUAGGGGAGCCGAAGGGAAACCGAGUCUUAACUGGGCGUUAAGUUGCAGGGUAUAGACCCGAAACCCGGUGAUCUAGCCAUGGGCAGGUUGAAGGUUGGGUAACACUAACUGGAGGACCGAACCGACUAAUGUUGAAAAAUUAGCGGAUGACUUGUGGCUGGGGGUGAAAGGCCAAUCAAACCGGGAGAUAGCUGGUUCUCCCCGAAAGCUAUUUAGGUAGCGCCUCGUGAAUUCAUCUCCGGGGGUAGAGCACUGUUUCGGCAAGGGGGUCAUCCCGACUUACCAACCCGAUGCAAACUGCGAAUACCGGAGAAUGUUAUCACGGGAGACACACGGCGGGUGCUAACGUCCGUCGUGAAGAGGGAAACAACCCAGACCGCCAGCUAAGGUCCCAAAGUCAUGGUUAAGUGGGAAACGAUGUGGGAAGGCCCAGACAGCCAGGAUGUUGGCUUAGAAGCAGCCAUCAUUUAAAGAAAGCGUAAUAGCUCACUGGUCGAGUCGGCCUGCGCGGAAGAUGUAACGGGGCUAAACCAUGCACCGAAGCUGCGGCAGCGACACUAUGUGUUGUUGGGUAGGGGAGCGUUCUGUAAGCCUGCGAAGGUGUACUGUGAGGUAUGCUGGAGGUAUCAGAAGUGCGAAUGCUGACAUAAGUAACGAUAAAGCGGGUGAAAAGCCCGCUCGCCGGAAGACCAAGGGUUCCUGUCCAACGUUAAUCGGGGCAGGGUGAGUCGACCCCUAAGGCGAGGCCGAAAGGCGUAGUCGAUGGGAAACAGGUUAAUAUUCCUGUACUUGGUGUUACUGCGAAGGGGGGACGGAGAAGGCUAUGUUGGCCGGGCGACGGUUGUCCCGGUUUAAGCGUGUAGGCUGGUUUUCCAGGCAAAUCCGGAAAAUCAAGGCUGAGGCGUGAUGACGAGGCACUACGGUGCUGAAGCAACAAAUGCCCUGCUUCCAGGAAAAGCCUCUAAGCAUCAGGUAACAUCAAAUCGUACCCCAAACCGACACAGGUGGUCAGGUAGAGAAUACCAAGGCGCUUGAGAGAACUCGGGUGAAGGAACUAGGCAAAAUGGUGCCGUAACUUCGGGAGAAGGCACGCUGAUAUGUAGGUGAAGUCCCUCGCGGAUGGAGCUGAAAUCAGUCGAAGAUACCAGCUGGCUGCAACUGUUUAUUAAAAACACAGCACUGUGCAAACACGAAAGUGGACGUAUACGGUGUGACGCCUGCCCGGUGCCGGAAGGUUAAUUGAUGGGGUCAGCGCAAGCGAAGCUCUUGAUCGAAGCCCCGGUAAACGGCGGCCGUAACUAUAACGGUCCUAAGGUAGCGAAAUUCCUUGUCGGGUAAGUUCCGACCUGCACGAAUGGCGUAAUGAUGGCCAGGCUGUCUCCACCCGAGACUCAGUGAAAUUGAACUCGCUGUGAAGAUGCAGUGUACCCGCGGCAAGACGGAAAGACCCCGUGAACCUUUACUAUAGCUUGACACUGAACAUUGAGCCUUGAUGUGUAGGAUAGGUGGGAGGCUUAGAAGUGUGGACGCCAGUCUGCAUGGAGCCGACCUUGAAAUACCACCCUUUAAUGUUUGAUGUUCUAACGUUGACCCGUAAUCCGGGUUGCGGACAGUGUCUGGUGGGUAGUUUGACUGGGGCGGUCUCCUCCUAAAGAGUAACGGAGGAGCACGAAGGUUGGCUAAUCCUGGUCGGACAUCAGGAGGUUAGUGCAAUGGCAUAAGCCAGCUUGACUGCGAGCGUGACGGCGCGAGCAGGUGCGAAAGCAGGUCAUAGUGAUCCGGUGGUUCUGAAUGGAAGGGCCAUCGCUCAACGGAUAAAAGGUACUCCGGGGAUAACAGGCUGAUACCGCCCAAGAGUUCAUAUCGACGGCGGUGUUUGGCACCUCGAUGUCGGCUCAUCACAUCCUGGGGCUGAAGUAGGUCCCAAGGGUAUGGCUGUUCGCCAUUUAAAGUGGUACGCGAGCUGGGUUUAGAACGUCGUGAGACAGUUCGGUCCCUAUCUGCCGUGGGCGCUGGAGAACUGAGGGGGGCUGCUCCUAGUACGAGAGGACCGGAGUGGACGCAUCACUGGUGUUCGGGUUGUCAUGCCAAUGGCACUGCCCGGUAGCUAAAUGCGGAAGAGAUAAGUGCUGAAAGCAUCUAAGCACGAAACUUGCCCCGAGAUGAGUUCUCCCUGACCCUUUAAGGGUCCUGAAGGAACGUUGAAGACGACGACGUUGAUAGGCCGGGUGUGUAAGCGCAGCGAUGCGUUGAGCUAACCGGUACUAAUGAACCGUGAGGCUUAACCUU